rnacentral:tRNA from 1 species
GCGGGCGUAGUUCACCGGUAGAAUGCGACCUUGCCAAGGUCGAGAAGUGGGUUCAAUUCCCAUCGCCCGCU